UUCCCAAAAAGAGCAAGGUUGUGAAUAUUUUUUGGUUAUAAUUUUGUGUGCAGAUCCUAUGAUUCUUGGGUGAGAGAUGAUACCAUGGAUCUGCUUUGCUUUAAUCAACAAAACUUGAAAAUUACUUGCACCCUUGACUCUGAUGAUCGUCGACCCUAACACCUACAGGAGAUUGAGAUGUAGUGCUACUAUGCUGAAGCACCCUUCCUCCAAGUCUCCUUCGGUUAGCUAGGAUUACUAUGGUGGGCUUUGGGCCCUAUUGGUUUUUGGACUUAAUUUGUAAGGGCCUCAAGUUGUUUAUCAUUUUAAAUGAUUGGAUGGGCG
rnacentral:misc_RNA from 1 species